rnacentral:rRNA from 1 species
GAAAGUUUGGUUCUGGCUUGAUGUUUUAAUUGUAGCUACAGUAAAUACAUGGUUCUUUAUGGGGUUGGUGAGUAAUGAGUUGAAGCUAGGUACAUGAAUGUUUAAUACUUUUAUGUAGGCUUGGCUUGACAUAAUUUUUAUAUGACGUCUAGGUUGGUUCACUAGAAUAACACCAGUAUUGAAGAUUAAGUAGGAUGAGCGUAAGCUUGAGUUAGUGAUUGUUAAGAGGUCCGGUAAAAUCCGUGCCAGCCUCCGCGGUUAGACGGAUGGGCCUAGUUAGUAUGUUCGGUAUAAAAUAUGGUUAGAGAAGUAAAUAAAAGACUUAAGAGAAUCAGUUUCUGAGGUAGAAUUUAGAGAAAAUAUUUAAUUUUGUUAAGGUCUUAAGUUUUGAGGCCAUGAAGUUUUUGGGGGAGACCGGGAUUAGAUACCCCGUUAUUCAAAAAUGUAAACGUUAGUUUUUUCUUACCAGGGUAGUACGAGCUCAUGCUUAAAACUCAAAGAACUUGGCGGUGUCUUAAAUCUUUUUAGGGGAAUUUGUUCUAUAAUCGAUAAUCCGCGUGUGACCUUACUUUCUCUUGUAAAAACAGCUUGUAUACCGUCGUCGUCAGGUUACUUUGUAAGAAAGUUAGAGUUGGCUGUGGGGAGAGUUAUAUUUGUCCUUUACGUCAGAUCAAGGUGCAGCUAAUGGGAAAGUAGAAAUGAAUUACAAUAAAUUAAUUUUUAUACGGAGUUUUCCCUGAAAUGGGGAGAUGAAGGUGGACUUAAGAGUAAGUAUAAUAUUAGAAAGAUUUAUUGAAAUUGGCUCUAAGACGUGUACACAUCGCCCGUCGCUCUCGUUGAGAAAUGAGAUAAGUCGUAACAUAGUAAGGGUACCGGAAGGUGUCCUUGGUUGAU